rnacentral:rRNA from 1 species
UACGUAGGCGGAAAUCUAAGUCAGUGGUGAAAUCCCGCAGCUCAACUGUGGAACUGUCAUUGAUACUGGUUUUCUUGAAUAUAGUUGGGGUAGGCGGAAUGUGUAAUGUAGCGGUGAAAUGCUUAGAUAUUACACAGAACACCGAUUGCGAAGGCAGCUUACUAAACUAUGAUUGACGCUGAGGUACGAAAGCGUGGGGAGCGAACAGGAUUAGAUACCCUGGUAGUCC